GACGAACGCUGGCGGCGUGCUUAACACAUGCAAGUCGAACGGAAAGGCCCUGCUCUUGUGCUGUUCUCAAGUGGCGCACAGGUGAGUAACACGUGAGUAAACUGCCCUUUGUAUUGGGAUAUCUUCAUGAAACUCGGGCUAAAACCGGGUAUGAGCUCCUGCUACACGUGGGGGGUUGGAAAGAUUCGGCGGUUCGGGAUGGACUCGCGGCUCAUCAGCUUGUUGGUGGGGUAGUGGCUUACAAAGGCUUUGAGGGGUAGCCGGCCUGAGAGGGUGACAGGCCACAUUGGGACUGAGAUACGGGCAAGACGGAUACGGGAGGAAGCAGUGGGGAAUAUUGCGCGAUGGGCGGAAGCAUGAUGGAGCAACGCCGCGUCCGAGAUGACGGUCUUAGGGUUGGAAACCGCGUGAGACUGUGACGAAGAGUGAGUGACGGUAGUGGGUAAAGAAGCAACGGCUAACUACGUG
rnacentral:rRNA from 1 species